AUGAACGCUGGCGGCGUGCCUAAUACCUGCAAGUCGAGCGAACGGACGAGAAGCUUGCUUCUCUGAUGUUAGCGGCGGACGGGUGAGUAACACGUGGAUAACCUACCUAUAAGACUGGGAUAACUUCGGGAAACCGGAGCUAAUACCGGAUGAUAUUUUGAACCGCAUGGUUCAAAAGUGAAAGACGGUCUUGCUGUCACUUAUAGAUGGAUCCGCGCUGCAUUAGCUAGUUGGUAAGGUAACGGCUUACCAAGGCAACGAUGCAUAGCCGACCUGAGAGGGUGAUCGGCCACACUGGAACUGAGACACGGUCCAGACUCCUACGGGAGGCAGCAGUAGGGAAUCUUCCGCAAUGGGCGAAAGCCUGACGGAGCAACGCCGCGUGAGUGAUGAAGGUCUUCGGAUCGUAAAACUCUGUUAUUAGGGAAGAACAUAUGUGUAAGUAACUGUGCACAUCUUGACGGUACCUAAUCAGAAAGCCACGGCUAACUACGUG
rnacentral:rRNA from 1 species